AUGCUCUGGCUCUUUCACUCGGUCCAAGGCUUCGCGCCGCUUCUAAACGACGGGACCCGGAGGAUCCUGGACUUUCGUUUCUUUUCGGACUGCGCAGGCGCGCGGGGAAACCGGCGCAAAUCCGCCCCCGCUGGGGAACGAGGGAGGGAAAAACUAAUAUCAAGACUGAACUUUAUGUCCCAGGAGAAGCAAUAUUGAUCCUUGUCAAGACAGAUGACUGCGGAAGAUUUACCAAGUGAACAUAGCAGUGUCAGGAAAAACUAAUAUCAAGACUGAACUUUAUGUCCCAGGAGAAGCAAUAUUGAUCCUUGUCAAGACAGAUGACUGCGGAAGAUUUACCAAGUGAACAUAGCAGUGUCAGGGUUAUAACAGAUGACAUGUGACUUCACCCUAACUCCUACCUGACUUGUGGAAAGUGACUUGCUUUUAUCAGGCUAUGUCUGAUUGACACAUUGGAGGGCUCCGUGACUUGCCUGGUGAGACUGCAGGAAAAACUAAUAUCAAGACUGAACUUUAUGUCCCAGGAGAAGCAAUAUUGAUCCUUGUCAAGACAGAUGACUGCGGAAGAUUUACCAAGUGAACAUAGCAGUGUCAGGAAAAACUAAUAUCAAGACUGAACUUUAUGUCCCAGGAGAAGCAAUAUUGAUCCUUGUCAAGACAGAUGACUGCGGAAGAUUUACCAAGUGAACAUAGCAGUGUCAGGGUUAUAACAGAUGACAUGUGACUUCACCCUAACUCCUACCUGACUUGUGGAAAGUGACUUGCUUUUAUCAGGCUAUGUCUGAUUGACACAUUGGAGGGCUCCGUGACUUGCCUGGUGAGACUGCAGGAAAAACUAAUAUCAAGACUGAACUUUAUGUCCCAGGAGAAGCAAUAUUGAUCCUUGUCAAGACAGAUGACUGCGGAAGAUUUACCAAGUGAACAUAGCAGUGUCAGGAAAAACUAAUAUCAAGACUGAACUUUAUGUCCCAGGAGAAGCAAUAUUGAUCCUUGUCAAGACAGAUGACUGCGGAAGAUUUACCAAGUGAACAUAGCAGUGUCAGGUUGCCUGGUGCUUUGUUCCCUUAGCCACCUCAAACCGACCUAACAGCAUCUAUGGCUCUAUCUCAUCCCCAGCCUAGAGUACUGCCACCUCCACAGGGUCUGCUUCCUUUGUCCUCUGCCUUUGUCAAGGAAUGUACUGGUCACAGGAUCACUGAAGUUUUGGUUGACACUGCCACUCCAGGAUUUGAGCUCUUUAUCUUGCCUUCUUAAUGGAUUUUGUUUCUGUCCCCAUCUGAUCCCAUUAUCAGCUAUCCCAGGCUGUACUUGGAUCCACAGAGGUAUACAGAGUGUCUGUGUCACAGUGUAUGUGGUCAAAAAAGUGGUGUGGUGGCUGAGGUGACCCAGAAGUAUAGUGACUUUAGCACCAAGUAGAGAAAGUCAGCCUUGCCCGCCCCCUACCCCAGCUUCCUGGGGGCCCUACUUGAUGUGAUUGGCCAUUGGCCUGAGCUUGCAUCACAAUGACCACCAGGGUUGCUAAGCAACUGUCCCCAAGGAUUUGAAGAACAAGAGCUUUCCUGCCAGUGUGAGCAGGACAUAGCUCUUGCUCCUUUGUGAAGAACUAGUCCUGAGAACUCCUGAUGUUACAGUGGAUGGCUGCAGAUCCUGGAAGUACAUGGGGCCACCCAGUAAGGCUGAGGGAAAUCUCACUGUGGUGCCUCAACACAGGCCUGGUACCCCUUCCUCAGGCCUGAGUGAGGAUGUACCUGUGAAUAUCCCUAGAGUCUGCCCUGGGCCAAGGGAGAGUGGGACUGCCUGUGAGCCUUGUGGCUGCUGUUUCCAGAGGAGCCCCAGCAUGUGGAUCAGAGCCUGUAGAUGAUGGUGCUGCCUCAGCAUGUGUGUGUGUGUGUGUGUGUGUACGUGUGCAUGUGGGCACUUGCCUGUGUGUAGGUCUUCUGGAGAUGGAUGGAUCCUGUGCCUGAAGCUUGAACUUCUCUGUUGUCCAUGCUCUUUCUCCUGACCUGAUAAUACUUUGUGUGCUAGUGUUUAGCUCUGGCACCAUGUAUGUUGCAAAGUUGCUGAGGCAGGUCUUGUGUCAGGGUUUUUUAGCCUCCUGUUUCCUCCUGACCUGCAGGAGAGAUGGGGAAAGCAUGCCCCGACCAGGAGGAGCUGAGAAAGGUAAAGCCCUCCCUUCCCUAGGACAAUCAAGUGGGCCAGGGAGAACAGUCAAAGCAGGAUCUCAUUUAAUGAGAAAACAUACACAGCUAAUAUAAUGUACAGGAGCCAGUCAGGAUAAAGGUCAGCAGGGUGGGGAGAAUUUACAUCUACUCCCAUCCUACAGGCAGUAAUGUCCGUGAGGGCAGAAGGGUUCUGAGCCUAUCCUAGAGGUGGUCCGAUUCUUCAUCACAACCCAGGGCAAUGCCUUCUGGCUAAUCUCUAGGUGCUCUCUUAGCCACAUGUGGCCCCAGGACUGGGAAGCGGGUGCAGCCAGCAAGUUAAGUUUCCUCUUUUCUGAUGCAACAUGCCCACAUUACAUCAUGCCCUACAGUCUUGAACUUAUGAUCCUCCUGCCUUGGCCUCCUGACUCACUGGGAUUGCAUGUAUGUGCCACUGGCUACAAACUCAUUUUGAAGUUACAGAAAGGUAUAAAGACAGGUCAAAGGAAGUGGUUCUAUCUCUAAUCAUACCAUUCUCUAGUGUUAGCUAAUGUCUUAACUCAUGAUUUUAAUGAGACCAAGAAGAAAGUGGCUUGGGCAAUAUUACUAACCAGAAUGCAGACUUUGGGGAUCCAUAUGGCAGGGUAAUGCUAUCUCCUCAGCUGCUUGUACUCUUACAUUUUUCCUCAGUCCUUCCUCAUCUUCCAUAAGCUUCGUGGACUUUCAUUUUGGGAUACCCUUCAAAAGAAAAAAGGCUUUCUAUGGAAAAGGGUGAUGUAAUUCUUUGGUGUCAGUUCCAUCGCUCUCA